UCUCUUUCGGGUGUAUGUCUUCGUGUAGCAGCAAUUGGGACGUCAGCGAUUGGGACGUCAGCAAUGGGUCGUGUACCGGUAUCGGUUGCUCUAUGCUUUUGUCACAGAAAUUGGAUCCUACAACUUUUCGGUUGGCGACCUUAAGCAGCUUAAAUUUAAACGUACCCUCUAGUUCUCGAUUGGGCAAUAGGGAAUCAAACAUGCAAGGAUGCCAAGAAGAACAGCACGAGCUACAUGUGCGCCUACAACACUGCUUGCAAUGAUGCCGAAAACGGAUCUGGGUACAAGUGUACUUGUUUAGAAGGUUACCAAGGCAAUCCUUACCUUGGUUGUCAAGAUAUUGAUGAAUGUGCGGAUCCAAAGAAUAACCCAUGUCAGGGAAAAUGCCACAACAUUGGUGGGAGUUAUAAAUGUUCA